rnacentral:rRNA from 1 species
AUACUCUUAGUCGGACUAGGCGUUUGCUUGAAAAGUAUUGGCAUGGGUAGUACUAGAUAGUGCUGUCGACCUCUCAAUGUAUUAGGUUUAUCCAACUCGUUGAAUGGUGUGGCGGGAUAUUUCUGGUAUUGUUGGCCCGNCCUUACAACAACCAAACAAGUUUGACCUCAAAUCAGGUAGGAAUACCCGCUGAACUUAAGCAUAUCAAUAAGCGGAGGAAAAGAAACCAACAGGGAUUGCCUUAGUAGCGGCGAGUGAAGCGGCAAAAGCUCAAAUUUGAAAUCUGGCGCCUUCGGUGUCCGAGUUGUAAUUUGAAGAUUGUAACCUUGGGGUUGGCUCUUGUCUAUGUUUCUUGGAACAGGACGUCACAGAGGGUGAGAAUCCCGUGCGAUGAGAUGCCCAAUUCUAUGUAAGGUGCUUUCGAAGAGUCGAGUUGUUUGGGAAUGCAGCUCUAAGUGGGUGGUAAAUUCCAUCUAAAGCUAAAUAUUGGCGAGAGACCGAUAGCGAACAAGUACAGUGAUGGAAAGAUGAAAAGAACUUUGAAAAGAGAGUGAAAAAGUACGUGAAAUUGUUGAAAGGGAAGGGUUUGAGAUCAGACUCGAUAUUUUGUGAGCCUUGCCUUCGUGGCGGGGUGACCCGCAGCUUAUCGGGCCAGCAUCGGUUUGGGCGGUAGGAUAAUGGCGUAGGAAUGUGACUUUACUUCGGUGAAGUGUUAUAGCCUGCGUUGAUGCUGCCUGCCUAGA